rnacentral:rRNA from 1 species
AGUGAACGCUGGCGGUAGGCCUAACACAUGCAAGUCGAACGGCAGCACAGUAAGAGCUUGCUCUUACGGGUGGCGAGUGGCGGACGGGUGAGGAAUACAUCGGAAUCUACUUUUUCGUGGAGGAUAACGUAGGGAAACUUACGCUAAUACCGCAUACGACCUACGGGUGAAAGCAGGGGAUCUUCGGACCUUGCGCGAUUGAAUGAGCCGAUGUCGGAUUAGCUAGUUGGCGGGGUAAAGGCCCACCAAGGCGACGAUCCGUAGCUGGUCUGAGAGGAUGAUCAGCCACACUGGAAUUGAGACACGGUCCAGACUCCUACGGGAGGCAGCAGUGGGGAAUAUUGGACAAUGGGCGCAAGCCUGAUCCAGCCAUACCGCGUGGGUGAAGAAGGCCUUCGGGUUGUAAAGCCCUUUUGUUGGGAAAGAAAAGCAGCAGGUUAAUACCCCGCUGUUCUGACGGUACCCAAAGAAUAAGCACCGGCUAACUUCGUG